UCUUUUUAGGAGUCCAAUGUGCUGAUUGCUGCUAACAGCCAGGGUACAAUUAAGGUGCUAGAAUUGGUAUAAAGAAUUUCCUGAAGUCAAAUUGUGUUUGAUCCCCCCAAAAGCCGUCUGCAGCUGAUGAUGAGAAGAGAAAGAAAUGGCAUGUGAUGUCUCUCCCAACGUCGUUUGGAUGUGUUCUGAGUACCUUUUCCCUCCUUUUUGCCUUUGGGACAUUGGGAAUAUCCAGAGAAUUCUCCGCCGUCAGUGUAACUAUGAACUUUGCUGUUGGCAGUGUGGCUAUCUAAUUUUUGUGAUAGGGAAACAAAUUCUUUUAAAUAAAAAUAAAUAACAAAAAAAAAAAGUUUAUCGAGCCACAGCUGAGCUGGAAACACCUUUGUCAGGUGGAGUGAGAGUCUUUCGAAGAAGUAGCACUUGUGGGCUGUACAGAAUGUUCUGGCUGGGGCUGGAAAGAGGCUCGGUGAAUAAGAGCACUGGCUGCUCCUACAGAGGAUCUGGGUUCAGUCCCCAGAGUCCCCAGCACCUACGUAGCAGCUCACUGCCACUUAUGAUUCCAGUAGAUCUGACCUCCUCUUCUGGCCUCCUUGAGCACCAGGUAUGCAUGUGGUGCACAUACAAACAUCCGGACAAAACGCUCACACAUAAAAAUGAAAAUAAAUCUUAUUUUAAAACAAAGAAAAA
rnacentral:lncRNA from 1 species